UUAAGUUAUUAAGGGCGCACGGUGGAUGCCUUGGCACUAGAAGCCGAUGAAGGACGUUACUAACGACGAUAUGCUUUGGGGAGCUGUAAGUAAGCUUUGAUCCAGAGAUUUCCGAAUGGGGAAACCCAGCAUGAGUUAUGUCAUGUUAUCGAUAUGUGAAUACAUAGCAUAUCAGAAGGCACACCCGGAGAACUGAAACAUCUUAGUACCCGGAGGAAGAGAAAGAAAAUUCGAUUCCCUUAGUAGCGGCGAGCGAAACGGGAAGAGCCCAAACCAAAAAGCUUGCUUGUUGGGGUUGUAGGACACUCUAUACGGAGUUACAAAGGACGACAUUAGACGAAUCAUCUGGAAAGAUGAAUCAAAGAAGGUAAUAAUCCUGUAGUCGAAAAUGUUGUCUCUCUUGAGUGGAUCCUGAGUACGACGGAGCACGUGAAAUUCCGUCGGAAUCUGGGAGGACCAUCUCCUAAGGCUAAAUACUCUCUAGUGACCGAUAGUGAACCAGUACCGUGAGGGAAAGGUGAAAAGCACCCCGGAAGGGGAGUGAAAUAGAACCUGAAACCGUGUGCUUACAAGUAGUCAGAGCCCGUUAAUGGGUGAUGGCGUGCCUUUUGUAGAAUGAACCGGCGAGUUACGAUUUGAUGCAAGGUUAAGCAGUAAAUGUGGAGCCGUAGCGAAAGCGAGUCUGAAUAGGGCGUUUAGUAUUUGGUCGUAGACCCGAAACCAGGUGAUCUACCCUUGGUCAGGUUGAAGUUCAGGUAACACUGAAUGGAGGACCGAACCGACUUACGUUGAAAAGUGAGCGGAUGAACUGAGGGUAGCGGAGAAAUUCCAAUCGAACCUGGAGAUAGCUGGUUCUCUCCGAAAUAGCUUUAGGGCUAGCCUCAAGUGAUGAUUAUUGGAGGUAGAGCACUGUUUGGACGAGGGGCCCCUCUCGGGUUACCGAAUUCAGACAAACUCCGAAUGCCAAUUAAUUUAACUUGGGAGUCAGAACAUGGGUGAUAAGGUCCGUGUUCGAAAGGGAAACAGCCCAGACCACCAGCUAAGGUCCCAAAAUAUAUGUUAAGUGGAAAAGGAUGUGGCGUUGCCCAGACAACUAGGAUGUUGGCUUAGAAGCAGCCAUCAUUUAAAGAGUGCGUAAUAGCUCACUAGUCGAGUGACACUGCGCCGAAAAUGUACCGGGGCUAAACAUAUUACCGAAGCUGUGGAUUGUCCUUUGGACAAUGGUAGGAGAGCGUUCUAAGGGCGUUGAAGCAUGAUCGUAAGGACAUGUGGAGCGCUUAGAAGUGAGAAUGCCGGUGUGAGUAGCGAAAGACGGGUGAGAAUCCCGUCCACCGAUUGACUAAGGUUUCCAGAGGAAGGCUCGUCCGCUCUGGGUUAGUCGGGUCCUAAGCUGAGGCCGACAGGCGUAGGCGAUGGAUAACAGGUUGAUAUUCCUGUACCACCUAUAAUCGUUUUAAUCGAUGGGGGGACGCAGUAGGAUAGGCGAAGCGUGCGAUUGGAUUGCACGUCUAAGCAGUAAGGCUGAGUAUUAGGCAAAUCCGGUACUCGUUAAGGCUGAGCUGUGAUGGGGAGAAGACAUUGAGUCUUCGAGUCGUUGAUUUCACACUGCCGAGAAAAGCCUCUAGAUAGAAAAUAGGUGCCCGUACCGCAAACCGACACAGGUAGUCAAGAUGAGAAUUCUAAGGUGAGCGAGCGAACUCUCGUUAAGGAACUCGGCAAAAUGACCCCGUAACUUCGGGAGAAGGGGUGCUCUUUAGGGUUAACGCCCAGAAGAGCCGCAGUGAAUAGGCCCAAGCGACUGUUUAUCAAAAACACAGGUCUCUGCUAAACCGUAAGGUGAUGUAUAGGGGCUGACGCCUGCCCGGUGCUGGAAGGUUAAGAGGAGUGGUUAGCUUCUGCGAAGCUACGAAUCGAAGCCCCAGUAAACGGCGGCCGUAACUAUAACGGUCCUAAGGUAGCGAAAUUCCUUGUCGGGUAAGUUCCGACCCGCACGAAAGGCGUAACGAUUUGGGCACUGUCUCAACGAGAGACUCGGUGAAAUCAUAGUACCUGUGAAGAUGCAGGUUACCCGCGACAGGACGGAAAGACCCCGUGGAGCUUUACUGUAGCCUGAUAUUGAAAUUCGGCACAGCUUGUAUAGGAUAGGUAGGAGCCUUUGAAACGUGAGCGCUAGCUUACGUGGAGGCGCUGGUGGGAUACUACCCUAGCUGUGUUGGCUUUCUAACCCGCACCACUUAUCGUGGUGGGAGACAGUGUCAAGCGGGCAGUUUGACUGGGGCGGUCGCCUCCUAAAAGGUAACGGAGGCGCUCAAAGGUUCCCUCAGAAUGGUUGGAAAUCAUUCAUAGAGUGUAAAGGCAUAAGGGAGCUUGACUGCGAGACCUACAAGUCGAGCAGGGUCGAAAGACGGACUUAGUGAUCCGGUGGUUCCGCAUGGAAGGGCCAUCGCUCAACGGAUAAAAGCUACCCCGGGGAUAACAGGCUUAUCUCCCCCAAGAGUUCACAUCGACGGGGAGGUUUGGCACCUCGAUGUCGGCUCAUCGCAUCCUGGGGCUGUAGUCGGUCCCAAGGGUUGGGCUGUUCGCCCAUUAAAGCGGUACGCGAGCUGGGUUCAGAACGUCGUGAGACAGUUCGGUCCCUAUCCGUCGUGGGCGUAGGAAAUUUGAGAGGAGCUGUCCUUAGUACGAGAGGACCGGGAUGGACAUACCUCUGGUGUACCAGUUGUCGUGCCAACGGCAUAGCUGGGUAGCUAUGUGUGGACGGGAUAAGUGCUGAAAGCAUCUAAGCAUGAAGCCCCCCUCAAGAUGAGAUUUCCCAACUUCGGUUAUAAGAUCCCUCAAAGA
rnacentral:rRNA from 1 species